AUUUUUAUCAAGAAUUCUGUGGCAGUGCAGAUAAGCAUUGUGAUUUGUUUUCACUGAAAGAAGAGUAUGGUGUGCAUCAAAAGAUCAACUUGAAUAACCCACCUGAACAAUAUUAUCAAGAAAAAUCAGGUCCUGUGAACAAUGCAAGUACAGAAAAAGGUGAAGCACCUUCAGAGAGCAAUUUUUACUUGGAGGAGUUAGAGAAAUACACUUUUUCUGUGUGCUGCCGUUCUGCUGUAGAAGUGAGGCUGUCCAAAAGGAUUAUUGAACAUUUCCAUUUUGGGAUAUAUGCAGUCUUCUCAGAACUGGGAACCACACAUUGGUGUUCUUGGGACUUCUGGCUGGUUGUGCUGUUAGUAAUUUUACUUUGGUUUGUGAGACUUUACCUGCAUUAUUGUAGUCAGUGGCUCUUCCUUCAGGCCAUCUCAGUUCCU